AACGAACGCUGGCGGCAGGCCUAACACAUGCAAGUCGAGCGGACCCUUCGGGGUUAGCGGCGGACGGGUGAGUAACGCGUGGGAAUAUGCCCUUCUCUACGGAAUAGUCCUGGGAAACUGGGGGUAAUACCGUAUACGCCCUUUGGGGGAAAGAUUUAUCGGGGAAGGAUUAGCCCGCGUUGGAUUAGGUAGUUGGUGGGGUAAUGGCCUACCAAGCCGACGAUCCAUAGCUGGUUUGAGAGGAUGAUCAGCCACACUGGGACUGAGACACGGCCCAGACUCCUACGGGAGGCAGCAGUGGGGAAUCUUAGACAAGGGGGGCAACCCUGAUCUAGCCAUGCCGCGUGAGUGAUGAAGGCCUUAGGGUUGUAAAGCUCUUUCAGCUGGGAAGAGAAUGACGGUACCAGCAGAAGAAGCCCCGGCUAACUCCGUG
rnacentral:rRNA from 1 species